AACAGUCCCAGACGCCUACUAGGGAGGCACCGGCCAUGGCACUGGGUGGAAAGAGGGUUAAGAAAGAAAAUAUAAAAUCACUACAUAAGGAAGUAGUUGGAAAUGCUGGAAGGGGCCUGCCCAAAAGAUGUCUGGCAUCUGGGAACAGCCAAAGUGUGACCCAACUCUGGCCAAAGUGACAACGUUGGAAAACCAGGAACUCAAGGUUAUGGCUGUUUGUGUGACUAUUGAUUAAACAACAACAACAGUU